GGGUUCUACCGUUGGUCGGGCUUUGUCUGUACUGGCGUGUAGAAUUUCUACCUUCUGGGGAACCAUUAUGUUAUUAAUUUAGCGUGGUGGGAAACCAGGACCUUUACCUUGAAAAAUUAGAGUGUUCAAAGCAGGCUUAUGUCUGAAUACAUUAGCAUGGAAUAAUAGAAUAGGACGGUGGUCCUGUUUUGUUGGUUUCUGAAUCACCGUAAUGAUUAAUAG
rnacentral:rRNA from 1 species